rnacentral:misc_RNA from 1 species
UACAGAGACCUCAAGCGUUAUCCGGAUUUAUUGGGCGUAAAGCGUGUGUAGGCGGUUUGAUUAGUCAGAUGUUAAAGCCCAGGGCUCACCCCUGGAAUCGCAUUUGAAACGGUUAAACUAGAGAAUGUGAGAGAUGAGUGGAAUUCAUGGUGUAGUAGUGAAAUGCGUUGAUAUCAUGAGGAACACCAAAGGCGAAGGCAGCUCAUUGGCACAUUUCUGACGCUGAGACACGAAAGCGUGGGGAGCGAAUGGG